UCCGCCCGCCGCCCUAGAGAUAGCGCAGCCAGCGCGCGUACGGAGCGAGGAAUGUCCCGCCGGCCCCACUCACGGCGCCGAGGACCCCCGAAGGCCGACCACGUGGACGAAGGCGGAAGCGGGCAAGCGUUGGAAGGCGGCCGAAGGCGGACAAAAGUCUUUCUGGGACGCGCCUAGUGGGGUGGACCCAAUGGGUGGGGCUUCCCAACCAGGAUCCAGACUAGACUAGACGCAGGUUUCCAAAGAAGCAGAAGGCUGGCAGCUGCUGAGUCUUGAGAAUUAAAACCACUUCAUUAAAACAUGCAGGUUAGGAAUGCACCAGGGAGCCAAUCAUCAGAUAAAUAACCGUUAAAGCCCAAAUAACGCCAGCACCGUCUCAGUGGUUCUAAGUGGGUCCUUGCCUGAAGGCCCAAAGUACCAACCCUGGCACUGGGAGGUCACAGCUACUCUGAAUGGUUUUGCGGUACGCAGACCAUCAAGGCGUCCCUGUGUUUUUCGUUUCCAGAAAUUGCUCCAAUUGCCAGAUACUGAUGUGUUUAAUGGCAUGAAACCAUGAGCAGACAAACACGACAGACAACACAAAAGAAGAAAAGAAAGGGUUUCCCAAUGCUGUCCCACCGAAGGGACUGAAAACAAACAGCAUCAAGGAGCUUUGUCACCGAAACACAUCAUCUUGGGGGCGCUGUCCAGCAACACAGAGAUAAGAAGAGAAUCCUGCACCCAUUCUAUAUGUUUUUCUUACCACCGGUAUGAUUAUCAUCAUUGUGGAUGAAUUGUCAUUUCUGCUUUUCAAGAGGUUCCUCCUCUUCAAACCGAACCU